GUGCACCGCGAACAACAAUGCGCUCCGCGCCCGCGGGCGGGCGCCGGGCAGGGCAGGGCUGGGCAGGGCCGGGCCGGGCCGGGCCCGCGCCGCUUACCUUGACUCGGCCUCGAGGCGCGCGCGGCGCCGGCGUGCUCCGGGGCCGGGCGGCGGCGGCGGCGGCGGCGACGGGCGGAUGGCGGCGGCACGGCGAGGGCGGGGAGGGCGCUCCCGGGGCCUCGUCGCGCUCCGGCUCGGCGGGCUCCGGCUCGCGCCGCGGCCGCGGCUGCUGCCGGGGGGCGCGGCGGGCGCAGCAGAGCGGCGGGCGGCGGCGGCGGCGCGAGCGGCUCCCUCCAGUCCCCGCGCGGGCGGCGGCGGCAGCGUCGUCGAGCGGUGCAGACAAAGGAGGGGCGGAGGGAGGAGACAGAGGACAAUACAAGCGCCUCGGAGCGAGUCCCCGAACCUGCCCUAGCCAAAAUGGCGGCCGAGAAAGAGCGGAAGUGACGUCUGCUGUUGCUGGCACUUGACAUUCUUCCAACUCAGUCAUGGACUCUCCUCUUUGGCCUGAAGAAACAAGUGGAAUCCCCAGUGUUUUGAGGCCAGUGGACUGGUGAAGCCGAAGGAUGAAGUGAUGUCGCCAAUGGCCCUCCACAAGAUCCUUAAGAACACUUUGUAAUCCUAGGGCAAGUUCUAGUGCUCCCACAAUCUGGAUAGCAUGACAGCACAUGGACAGAGUGCUUGAAAACGUUAGGCCAGUCCCAACACUUAUCGUAGAGUGCAUCUGAGAGUGUAUCAUUGGUGAAAUGUAUUUAAAAGUAAUAAAAGCCAAUGGUUAAGGAUUAACCAAGGCUAGUUUUUCAAUACGUGCUCUGUAAAUACACUUUUACUACUGUUCCUUUUAGUUUACAAGGUAAGAUAGUUUCAAAUAAUACUUAACAUCUCAAAAGAAUCUAACUGAUAUGAAUUGUGGUUAACUAUACUCAAUGUCUAAGACUUUGGUUAGCAAGUUUAACAAACUUUCAUCCAACACACUGUUCCAUUAACUUCUGCAAUUUCACUAACAUCUUUAAAAGCCAAAUCAGUACUUCAGUAGAAAACAGGAGCUGGAAAAAGUUGUUUAAAAAACAACAGCAGGGGAGGGUUUGGCAAAGCAUUUGACUCAGGAAGAUGAAGAAUCUAUACACUGUAUAAUACAAGCAG
ensembl:lncRNA